GACAGGCUGUCCGAGUGGUUAAGGAGUUUGACUUGAAUUGCACAAGGUUCAUGGUUAUCAAAUGCGGUCCCCGCGCGUAGGUUCGAAUCCUGCGCCUGUCG